rnacentral:rRNA from 1 species
UACGAAGGGGGCUAGCGUUGUUCGGAUUUACUGGGCGUAAAGCGCACGUAGGCGGAUUGUUAAGUCAGGGGUGAAAUCCUGGAGCUCAACUCCAGAACUGCCUUUGAUACUGAGAAGCUUGAAUCCGGGAGAGGUGAGUGGAACUGCGAGUGUAGAGGUGAAAUUCGUAGAUAUUCGCAAGAACACCAGUGGCGAAGGCGGCUCACUGGCCCGGUACUGACGCUGAGGUGCGAAAGCGUGGGGAGCAAACAGG